UACGGGGGGGGGCAAGCGUUGUUCGGAAUUACUGGGCGUAAAGCGCGUGUAGGCGGCUAAGUAAGUCGGGCGUGAAAUCCCACGGCUCAACCGUGGAAGUGCACUCGAAACUGCAUAGCUAGAGUCCUGGAGAGGAAGGUGGAAUGCUUGGUGUAGAGGUGAAAUUCGUAGAUAUCAAGCGGAACACCGGUGGCGAAGGCGGCCUUCUGGACAGUGACGUGACGCUGAAACGCGAAAGCGUGGGGAGCAAACAGG
rnacentral:rRNA from 1 species